rnacentral:rRNA from 1 species
AGUGAACGCUGGCGGUAGGCCUAACACAUGCAAGUCGAACGGCAGCACCGUAAGAGCUUGCUCUUACGGGUGGCGAGUGGCGGGCGGGUGAGGAAUACAUCGGAAUCUACUUUUUCGUGGGGGAUAACGUAGGGAAACUUACGCUAAUACCGCAUACGACCUACGGGUGAAAGCAGGGGAUCUUCGGACCUUGCGCGAUUGAAUGAGCCGAUGUCGGAUUAGCUAGUUGGCGGGGUAAAGGCCCACCAAGGCGACGAUCCGUAGCUGGUCUGAGAGGAUGAUCAGCCACACUGGAACUGAGACACGGUCCAGACUCCUACGGGAGGCAGCAGUGGGGAAUAUUGGACAAAGGGCGCAAGCCUGAUCCAGCCAUACCGCGUGGGUGAAGAAGGCCUUCGGGUUGUAAAGCCCUUUUGUUGGGAAAGAAAAGCAGCAGGUUAAUACCCCGCUGUUCUGACGGUACCCAAAGAAUAAGCACCGGCUAACUUCGUG